rnacentral:lncRNA from 13 species
UGUAAAAUGAAGCAUGCUCCCUAUAUUUGAUUUUGCUUUUGGUCUAAAUGGAGACUAAUUUUAUCUUUUAAUUUUAGGAAAGUUAUGGAAUCAGAAUAAAACUGAAGAAAAAUGAAGCCUGGUUUCUUAAUGAAUAUUUGAAAUCAAUAUUGAGUUGGAAGAAUCCAGGAAUUUCAAGUUUUGAGUAGCGGGCAUCUUACAAGAUUACCACACCUAAACUGAAAAGGCAGAUGCAGCUCUGAGUACCAGAUUGGUGUGUGCACUGCAUAUACAUGAAAACCCACGUUUUUGUCAUCACGUAGACUUGCUCUGGCGUAU